rnacentral:rRNA from 1 species
GACGAACGCUGGCGGCGUGCCUAAUACAUGCAAGUAGAACGCUGAAGGAGGAGCUUGCUCUUCUGGAUGAGUUGCGAACGGGUGAGUAACGCGUAGGUAACCUGCCUGGUAGCGGGGGAUAACUAUUGGAAACGAUAGCUAAUACCGCAUAACAGUAGAUGUUGCAUGACAUUUGCUUAAAAGGUGCAAUUGCACCACUACCAGAUGGACCUGCGUUGUAUUAGCUAGUUGGUGGGGUAACGGCUCACCAAGGCGACGAUACAUAGCCGACCUGAGAGGGUGAUCGGCCACACUGGGACUGAGACACGGCCCAGACUCCUAAGGGAGGCAGCAGUAGGGAAUCUUCGGCAAUGGACGGAAGUCUGACCGAGCAACGCCGCGUGAGUGAAGAAGGUUUUCGGAUCGUAAAGCUCUGUUGUAAGAGAAGAACGAGUGUGAGAGUGGAAAGUUCACACUGUGACGGUAUCUUACCAGAAAGGGACGGCUAACUACGUG